GAUGACCAAACAUUAAGUACCUCAUGCAAGUAAUAUUCUGUUAAGCAUGAACUACAGGUUCUUUUAACUGAAUUUCAUAUUGUACAAAACUUAAGUGUGGCACAUUUCUACUAUUACCAUUACAUUAUUUUUUUUUAAAAAUGUAGUCAGAAUUGAUACAUUACACAGACCUUUUGAUUUAAAAUAUAACCAAAGGAAACCAUUACAAACUCUUAAUUCAAACAGGCAUUUUUCUAUACAAACAUGAGUUAUUUUAGUCUAAAAAAAAUAGCCAUUUCAAUGCAAUUAAGCCACCUCUGAUUAAGACAUACAUUUCAUGCAUGUGAAAAAAUAAGUUUACAUUCAAGAAUCAGUUCCAUAGCAAACAAAUUACAGCAUUUAUUCAAGAAGGAAUAUUAAAAAUAAUUCCAGUUAAUAGAAAAUAAAAUAACUUCAAGCACAUAUAUUAUAAUUUAUCGUGUACAGACUCCAAAAUCUCCAGAAUUUAAUUAGGAAAUUUAAAGAAUUUCUUUUGAAAGUACGUCUUAGAAAACCAACCAAAACAAUUGGUGCCGUAACUAAAGAGAACGUCCGUACACAUCCACAUUUGACCUACAUGUAAAAACUGGAUGAAAUAUAGAGGAAAUAAAGGUUACUGUUUUCUAAAAUCUCAGAAAUAUAAUAUUAGUACUUAGGUCAAAACACUUACCUGCAAAUUAAAAACAGCUUGAGGUAUUUCCAAUGCUGAAGCAAAUUUCUGAAUGUUAAAUACCACAAGAAUGAAAACAGUCUCCUUUGAACAUUUAUACCUGGUUUAUAGUUGAGACAGAAGACAAGGUCUGCCAAGAAGUUUUCCCAUCUCACCUAUAUUCUUGGAUCCCUGAUGAAGUGUAAGCUUCAAGGGAAAUGGUCACAUGUAAAAAGAGCCAAAUGGUACUUGAAGUCUUUACACAUGACACACGAAAAUGAUGAAGUGUUUUAUUUAGAUUUGGUCUUUCUUCAUCUUUUUGUAACUCUGGAUCCUGAAAGGUUAGCAAGUCGUUAUACUCAUACAUCUUGUAAACGUAUAAGCAGCAGACGUGUUUCACAUGAAAGAGGCUCUACGCAUCACACAGCCUGUCCCAACAAAAGAAACAUCACAAUGCCAUUUCAGC
rnacentral:lncRNA from 1 species